UGAGACCUACGGGAGGCAGCAGUGAGGAAUAUUGGUCAAUGGGCGAGAGCCUGAACCAGCCAAGUCGCGUGAAGGAUGACGGCCCUACGGGUUGUAAACUUCUUUUGUCAGGGAGCAAUUGGGUCCACGCGUGGGCUUAGCGAGAGUACCUGAAGAAAAAGCAUCGGCUAACUCCGUGCCAGCAGCCGCGGUAAUACGGAGGAUGCGAGCGUUAUCCGGAUUUAUUGGGUUUAAAGGGUGCGCAGGCGGAAGAUCAAGUCAGCGGUAAAAUUGAGAGGCUCAACCUCUUCGAGCCGUUGAAACUG
rnacentral:rRNA from 1 species